UAAAAUAUGAUUUAUUUAAAUGAUUGGAGAUAUUAGAUAAUUUUAUUUAUUUAGUAAUAAUUUGAGAAAAUAGAAUUAUUAGAAAUAAUUCACAUUUUGAGGUUUUUUAUUAAAUAUUUAUUUAAUCGAAAUUUUUAUUUAAAUAAAAUAAAGUGUUAUAUUUCAUUUAGAAAAUAAACUUUUUAGGAAUAAAAUAUGAGCGUCAGAUUAUUUUGG
rnacentral:lncRNA from 1 species